rnacentral:rRNA from 1 species
GCCCAAUACCUAGCCCACAAUACUCGCAUGAUUUCCCCCCCCCCCCCCUUUUUUUUGUUAAAACAUUUUAUUUCUUUAGUACAGGCGAUCGAAAAACUUCUAAGCGCUUCAGAUAAAGUACCGCAAGGGAAAGGUGAAAUAAUAAUGAAAUUACUUUAAGCCCAAAACAGCAGAGAUACUCCCUCGUACUUUUGCAUCAUGGUCUAGCUAGUUAAACCAAGCAAAAUGUGAACUUUAGUUUGACAUCCCGAAACUAAGUGAGCUACUUCAAAACAGCCUCAAAGGGCCAACCCGUCUCUGUUGCAAAAGAGUGGGAAGAUUUUCAAGUAGAGGUGAUAAGCCUAUCGGACUUAGAAAUAGCUGGUUACUCAGGAAAAGAGUUUUAGCUCUGCCCUAAGUUUUCUUAUUACUUUUAACAAAUUCUUAAACUUAAGAGUUAUUCAAGUAAGGUUCAGCUUACUUGAAAUAGGACACAACCUCCAAUAUUGGGUAAAUAAGGAUAACCUAAACUAAGUGGGCCUAAAAGCAGCCACCUUAUGAAAAAGCGUUAAAGCUUAAUUUACUAUACACCCGUAAUCCCUAGAAUCUUUAUCAACCCCUCUCCCCUACUGAGUCAUUUUAUAAAUUAUAAAAGCUAUUAUGCUAGAACUAGUAACAAGAAACCGUUUUUCUCUUAAAUGUAAGCCAAAACCGUAACAAACCCUAUCGGUAUUUAACGUGAAUGAUCAGAAUAUAGCAACUCAACUAGAAAACCCUAUUACCCUAAACGUUAAUCUUACACCAGAACAUUACAAGAAAGAUAAAAGAAAAAGAAGA